UUCGUAAUAUCGCUGCCGGCAGGUUGUCGUUUCAAUGAACGUUGGCUGGAAGAUGAAAGAUACAAAUUAUGGAUUAAACGAGGACAAACCCUACGAGUUGCCUCUUGUAAAGUCUGCAAAAAAGAUGUGCAGCUUUCCAAAAUGGGCGAGUCUGAGCUCUCGAGUCACAUGAAGCACACAGUCUUUGCAGGGUGGGGUUGGGGUCGAGGAAGAGCUCAUCAGCCCUGGAAGGUGUGGAGCUCCUCUUCACUGAAGCCCUGCUGCUUUAGCAACCUGAAAGACAGACAAACCGGAUAAGGAGGACGAGGAAAGAAACUGCUGCGUUCAAAGAAAAACUCAGUGCCAUCUAUCCCAGCGGCCUUCAUCAGCUCCGCUUCCCCACCAGGGUGGUAGUCCAUGUAGGGGGUCACGUUGUAAACCAUACCUGAAAACAUCCAGAAGGAAAAAGAGCUUUGUGUAUAUCACGUUCCACUGUCUGUUGUUCUGCUGACAGAAAUGAUAACAGCACACACACUUACUGUAUGUCAAAUGAUGGCAUUAUGUUUAAUGCCAGCAGUAGCUUGUCAGCUAGCCACUGCUGACAAUGACCCUAAUG